rnacentral:lncRNA from 1 species
CCAGUCUUUCAGGUGGGUUCUUACAUCAUUGUUGUGAAAGCACUCAAUCGCUUGGAGUAACUGGAAGAGGGCUGCACUUUGUGUGGUACCAGAUCUCCUUGACGCCGCUGAGACCCGGGACAUCAGUCUGCAUUUAGAGGUAAGGCCUCCACACAAACUAACUUUGGGAGAAGCUGAUGGACCCGUAUGGCAAAAUGUGCCAUUAUGCCUAAUUAAAAAUUGAUAAGAGCUAAAUUUUUAAAAC